rnacentral:rRNA from 1 species
AAUGAACGCUGGCGGCAUGCCUAAUACAUGCAAGUCGAACGAGAAGCUAGUGCUUGCAUUAGUGGAGAGUGGCGCACGGGUGAGUAACGCGUGGAUAACGUACCUUUUGGUUGGGGAUAACUCGAGGAAACUUGAGCUAAUACCGAAUAAGUUCACUGAUUCUUCGGAUGAAGUGAAGAAAGGGGGGCAACUCCCGCCGAUUGAUCGGUCCGCGUACCAUCAGCUUGUUGGUGAGGUAACGGCUCACCAAGGCUACGACGGUUAGCUGGUCUGAGAGGAUGAUCAGCCACACUGGGACUGAGACACGGCCCAGACUCCUACGGGAGGCAGCAGUAGGGAAUAUUGGGCAAUGGACGAAAGUCUGACCCAGCAAUGCCGCGUGUGUGAUGAAGGCCUUCGGGUUGUAAAGCACUGUCAGUGGGAAAGAAAAAAUUGGUGUAACGGCCAAUCUUGACGGUACCCACAAAGGAAGCACCGGCUAACUCCG